CUCAGCGCGAACGCUGGCGGCAUUGGCUAAAACAUGCAAGUCGAACGCGAAAGUUUCUUCGGAGACGAGUAGAGUGGCGAACGGGCGAGUAAGGCGGUUCUAACGUACCCUUAGGCGAGGGAUAGCUCGAGGAAACCGGUGGUAAUACCUCAUGACCCCCGGUUGUCGCAUGGCAGCCGGGGCAAAGGUUUACCGCCCGGGGAGCGGGAAAUGUCCUAUCAGGUAGUUGGUGGGGUAAAAGCCUACCAAGCCUACGACGGGUAGCGGGUGUGAGAGCAUGACCCGCCGCAUCGGGACUGAGACACUGCCCGGACUCCUUCGGGAGGCUGCAGUAACGAAUAUUCCGCAAUGCGCGAAAGCGUGACGGAGCAAUGCCGCGUGAAGGACGAAGCCCCUCGGGGUGUAAACUUCUGUCAGGACCUAGGAACGCAAUGACCAGGUCCAGAGGAAGGGCCGGCUAAGUUCGUGCCAGCAGCCGCGGUAAUACGAACGGCCCGAGCGUUGCGCGGAAUCAUUGGGCUUAAAGGGUGCGUAGGCGGAUCUGUAAGUGCUUUGUGAAAGCCCUCGGCUCAACCGAGGAAUUGCUUGGUAUACUACAAAUCUUGAGGUCGGCAGAGGUUGUCGGAACCAUAGGUGUAGCGGUGAAAUGCGUAGAUAUCUAUGGGAACGCCAAAGGAGAAAUCAGACAACUGGGCCGAAUCUGACGCUGAGGCACGAAAGCGUGGGUAGCGAAGAGGAUUAGAUACCCUCGUAGUCCACGCCCUAAACGAUGUGCACUAGGUGCUGGAGGUUUUGACGCCAUCGGGGCUGAAGUUAAAAACAAUAAGUGCACCGCCUGGGGAGUACGGUCGCAAGAUUAAAACUCAAAGGAAUUGACGGGGGCUCACACAAGCGGUGGAGCAUGUGGCUUAAUUCGAAGCAACGCGAAGAACCUUAUCCUGGGCUUGACAUGCACGGAUUAGCCCCGAGAAACCGGGGUGACGGCCCUUGGGUGAAACAUACACAGGUGCUGCAUGGCUGUCGUCAGCUCGUGCUGUGAAGUGUCGGGUUAAGUCCCUUAACGAGCGAAACCCCUAUCGUUAGUUACUAACACGUUAUGCUGAGGGCUGAGGACUCUAGCGAGACUGCCGGUGUCAAACCGGAGGAAGGUGGGGAUGACGUCAAGUCCUCAUGGCCUUUAUGUCCAGGGCUGCACACGUGCUACAAUGGCGUGCACAGAGCGACGCGAUACCGCGAGGUGGAGCAAAUCGCAAAAAACACGCCCCAGUUCGGAUUGGAGUCUGCAACUCGACUCCAUGAAGGUGGAAUCGCUAGUAAUCGCGUAUCAGCUACGACGCGGUGAAUACGUUCCUGAGCCUUGUACACACCGCCCGUCAAGUCAUGGAAGCCGGGAGCGCCCGAAGUCGCCCCAUCUCAGGGGUGCAUACGGCAAGCUCGCUGACUGGGACUAAGUCGUA
rnacentral:rRNA from 1 species